rnacentral:rRNA from 1 species
GGUAAUGUCUGGGAAACGGCCUGAUGGAGGGGGAUAACUACUGGAAACGGUAGCUAAUACCGCAUAACGUCGCAAGACCAAAGAGGGGGACCUUAGGGCCUCUUGCCAUCGGAUGUGCCCAGAUGGGAUUAGCUAGUAGGUGGGGUAAUGGCUCACCUAGGCGACGAUCCCUAGCUGGUCUGAGAGGAUGACCAGCCACACUGGAACUGAGACACGGUCCAG